rnacentral:rRNA from 1 species
GACGAACGCAGGCGGCGUGCUUAACACAUGCAAGUCGAACGGUAAGGCCCUUCGGGGUACACGAGUGGCGAACGGGUGAGUAACACGUGGGUGAUCUGCCCUGCACUUCGGGAUAAGCCUGGGAAACUGGGUCUAAUACCGGAUAGGACCACUGCCUGCAUGGGUGGGGGUGGAAAGCUUGUGCGGUGUGGGAUGGGCCCGGGGCCUAUCAGCUUGUUGGUGGGGUGAGGGCCUACCAAGGCGACGACGGGUAGCCGGCCUGAGAGGGUGACCGGCCACACUGGGACUGAGAUACGGCCCAGACUCCUACGGGAGGCAGCAGUGGGGAAUAUUGCACAAUGGGCGCAAGCCUGAUGCAGCGACGCCGCGUGAGGGAUGACGGCCUUCGGGUUGUAAACCUCUUUCAGCACCGACGAAGCGCAAGUGACGGUAGGUGCAGAAGAAGGACCGGCCAACUACGUGCCAGCCGCCGCCGUAA